rnacentral:pre_miRNA from 11 species
GGGGUCGAAUUGAGCCAAGGAUGGCUUGCCGUCAUCUGCAGCAAGAGUUGGAGACUUUUAACUGUGCGUGCACGGUUAGUCAUCCUUGGCUCAUUUGGCCCUUCU